rfam:Rattus norvegicus chromosome 1, whole genome shotgun sequence.
GGGGAUUUAGCUCAGUGGUAGAGCGCUUGCCUAGAAGCGCAAGGCCCUGGGUUCGGUCCCCAGCUCCG